UACGUAGGGGGCUAGCGUUGUCCGGAAUCAUUGGGCGUAAAGAGCGUGUAGGCGGUCCGGUAAGUCCGCUGUGAAAGUCGGGGGCUCAACCCUCGAAUGCCGGUGGAUACUGUCGGGCUAGAGUGCGGAAGAGGCGAGUGGAAUUCCUGGUGUAGCGGUGAAAUGCGCAGAUAUUGGGAAGAACACCAGUGGCGAAGGCGGUUCUCUGGGACGGUACUGACGCUGAGACGCGAAAAGCGUGGGGAGCGAACAGG
rnacentral:rRNA from 1 species